rnacentral:rRNA from 1 species
GACGAACGCUGGCGGCGUGCUUAACACAUGCAAGUCGAACGGAAAGGCCCUGCUUUUGUGGGGUGCUCGAGUGGCGAACGGGUGAGUAACACGUGAGUAACCUGCCCUUGACUUUGGGAUAACUUCAGGAAACUGGGGCUAAUACCGGAUAGGAGCUCCUGCUGCAUGGUGGGGGUUGGAAAGUUUCGGCGGUUGGGGAUGGACUCGCGGCUUAUCAGCUUGUUGGUGGGGUAGUGGCUUACCAAGGCUUUGACGGGUAGACGGCCUGAGAGGGUGACCGGCCACAUUGGGACUGAGAUACGGCCCAGACUCCUACGGGAGGCAGCAGUGGGGAAUAUUGCACCAUGGGCGGAAGCCUGAUGCAGCAACGCCGCGUGCGGGAUGACGGCCUUCGGGUUGUAAACCGCUUUCGCCUGUGACGAAGCGUGAGUGACGGUAAUGGGUAAAGAAGCACCGGCUAACUACGUG